rnacentral:snRNA from 1 species
GUGCUCACUUCUGCAAUACGUGCACUAAAAUUGGAAUGAUACAGAGAUUAGCAUGGCCCUUGUGCAAGGGUGACAUGCAAAUUAGUGAAGAAUUUCUUAUUUUU